GACUCAAGCAAUUUGGCUCUGUGGGCAGCGUCGCCUUGCCGGAUGCGUUCAGCACAGUCACGUCUGUGGGGCGCACUUUGAGCGAUUGCUGAAACAUUUCAUUUAUUAAAAAUUUGUAU